rfam:Camelus ferus unplaced genomic scaffold scaffold1328, whole genome shotgun sequence.
GUGAGUAUAGCUCACUAGUAGAGCACAUGCUUAGCAUGCACAAGAUCCUGGGUUCAAUCCCCAGUAUCUCCA